GUCUUCCAUCAGGGUUUCCCCUGACUUCAACCUGAUCAAGUAUAGUUCACCAUCUUUCGGGUCACAGCAUAUAUGCUCAAGGUACGCUCUAGUUAGAGGUAUAAAUAACAUAAAAUGCUAUUAUACAUAACAUAUAAAACGCCCUGGGAUUGAAUAAUUUAUUUAUAAAUAAAUAAAAAAUUAAUCCCAUUUAAAAAAAGUUAUGUUAAUUAAGCUUUUGGGUUUUAUAUAAAAAAUCCCAAUAACUUGCACAUAUGUUAGACUCCUUGGUCCGUGUUUCAAGACGGGUCCCGAAGGUUUCCUGAAUCUUUCGCAUUGUAAAUCGUAUAAAUGCUUAUAAUAAAAAAAAUUAUUAUAAAAUCUCAUAAAGAAAUUUAUGCAUUAUACAUAUGAUUAAAUCUAUCAAUACUUUAUCCAAUUAAUAAUAUUAUUUUAAAUUAAUAAUAAAUUACUAAUUAAAAAAUAAACAUUUAUUAUUAAUCUUAUGAUAAAUUUUCUAUUAAUAGAUUACAAUGUCCAAUUAUAUAAAGAAAAUGCACACCAUUACAAUAAUAAUAAUUAUUGUUAUAAUGAUGAAUUCUUUAUAUUGGAUAUUCAGGUUCAUCGGGUUUAACCUCUAAGCAGUUUCACGUACUAUUUAACUCUCUAUUCAGAGUUCUUUUCAACUUUCCCUCACGGUACUUGUUUACUAUCGGUUUCAUGGUUAUAUUUAGUUUUAGAUGGAGUUUACCACCAACUUAGUGCUGCACUAUCAAGCAACACGACUCUUUGGAAAUAUCUUCUAAUAAUCAAAAAUGUUAUACGGGCCUAGCACCCUCUAUGGGUAAAUGGCCUCAUUUAAGAAGGACUUAAAUCAUUAAUUCUUCAUAUUAGAAUAUAGAUAUUCCAUACACUGCAUCUCAC
rnacentral:rRNA from 1 species